GUUGAACGCUGGCGGCAUGCCUAACACAUGCAAGUCGAACGACAGCGCGGGAGCAAUCCUGGCGGCGAGUGGCGAACGGGUGAGUAAUACACCGGAACGUGCCCACUCGUGGGGGAGAACGCAGCGAAAGCUGUGCUAAUACCGCAUACGAUCUACGGAUGAAAGCAGGGGAUCGCAAGACCUUUCGCGAAUUGAGCGGCCGAUGGCGGAUUAGUUAGUUGGUGAGGUAAAGGCUGACCAAGCCUGCGAUCUGUAGCUGGUCUGUGAGGACGACCAGCCACCCUGGGACUGGGACACGGCCCAGACUCCUACGGGAGGCAGCAGUGGGGAAUUUUGGGCAAUGGGCGAAAGCCUGAUCCAGCCAUGCCGCGUGCAGGAUGAAGGCCUUCGGGUUGUAAACUGCUUUUGUGCGGAACGAAACGGUCUUUUCUAAUAAAGAAGGCUAAUGACGGUACCGUAAGAAUAAGCACCGGCUAACUACGUG
rnacentral:rRNA from 1 species